GCGUCAUCGUGAGUUUCGCAUCGAGUGUUGUAUGCCGGUGACAAUAAUUAACGAUCGAAUCGAGGCUUCAGACAUGGUGAAGGAGGCAAAAAUCUCACAAGCUGUGUACGUGCACAUCUAUAUAAAUAUCCAAUAUGAUUCUUGUAAACGACCACAUUGAAAAAAACUGUAAUUAAUUGAAAAUUUUUAAAGUGUAUUGGCCUGUGUAAAUUAUGCUUUGAACAAAAUUGAAAACUAUCUUCCUUUUUUAAAAAAAUUAAAAAAUAUGGUAUCUUAAAUCUUUAAAAAUUAAAAGUAUUUAAAACUCGGUUUAAAACGUCCGAAAUUGUUAUUAUGUGAAUUAAUGAUCAUUUCGCUUGAUAAAUUUCGAAUAUUCGUGUAAAAAUACACACACACACAUACACACUUUUUUUUAGGGUAUCCUGCACUUUUGAAUCGGCGAUGCACGCUCCUGGCAGUACAUUUAUUCGAGUGAAUGACUCGAUCGGCCAGGGCUUAUUCAAUUAAAGUUAAUUAAACACAUUUGUCACAUUUGUCGCGAUAUCGGCAUUCCGUACGGUCUUAUCGGACGCGAAAAGCACGAGGGAUCUCAACAGCGGUCGCCCUAUCGCGUUUGAAGUCGUCUACAAAAGAAUGACUCGCUUACCGCUGUAGUGAUCCGAUCAAUCACGUUCGCUGGACGCCACGCACGCGAUGCGAGAGAAGAGAGAAAAAGAGAAAGAAAGAAAAAAAAGGAGAAGCAGUGUGCGGCGCGUAAACUCGCGUAGACUCUUGGCCGUUUUUGUUAGCGGCUUAACAGUAAGCCGCGACGGAAUUCUCGCGGCGGAUCGCAAAAAAGCGCGAACCGUGUCGUUCGUCUCCGCGCGAACACGUUGCUCGGAGCGGCCGCGGCCGAGACAUAAAGAAAGAAGACGGGCUAAUUUCUGCUCGUCGGUAACAGUGACGUCGACGCCUAUGCUAGAGGCAGAAUUUCGCUCAUUAAAGCGAGCUUGUAUGUCCGCUUCUGCAUGUCAACCAGAUCUUUUAUCUACACGCUCAUUGGACGAAUUGAAGACUUUAUAAAUCUACAUAGAUUCAAUUACAAUUCCGUGAGCAAGUCUAAAAAAAAAAAUCUAUACGACGCGAGAGGAAAUCGCGAGAUUCCCUAAAUAAUUCCAUAAUUCAGAUAUUCUAGAUUCCUCUCUCCCUAGACUUUUCUCUCCUUUCUCGUUUUACUAUACAACGUUCACGGGGUAUCUAUUCAUAGCAGAAGAGUAAAGGAAGAAUUGUGUCUUGAUGCGUGUGUCAUAAAGACAACAAACUGCGCGUUUAAUUGUAAGAUAAUAUAAAUUAUUCGCUUAUUAAAGGAAAGUCACAAAUGGGCAUUCUGUAAAGCUAUAUCGUAAUGAAAGACGGCGAAUAAACAAAAAAUAAAAAAAACCGAUGAGUAUUCAUCUAUAAAGCUGAAA